GCGCUCACUUUGGCAAUACAUUUAGUAAAAUUAGAAAGAUACAGAGAUUAAUAACACAACCCUGUACAAGGAUGGCAUGCAUAAUUGUGCAGUGUUCCUUGUAUAU